rnacentral:rRNA from 1 species
GAAACCGUGUGCUUACAAGUAGUCAGAGCCCGUUAAUGGGUGAUGGCGUGCCUUUUGUAGAAUGAACCGGCGAGUUACGAUUUGAUGCAAGGUUAAGCAGUAAAUGUGGAGCCGUAGCGAAAGCGAGUCUGAAUAGGGCGUUUAGUAUUUGGUCGUAGACCCGAAACCAGGUGAUCUACCCUUGGUCAGGUUGAAGUUCAGGUAACACUGAAUGGAGGACCGAACCGACUUACGUUGAAAAGUGAGCGGAUGAACUGAGGGUAGCGGAGAAAUUCCAAUCGAACCUGGAGAUAGCUGGUUCUCUCCGAAAUAGCUUUAGGGCUAGCCUCAAGUGAUGAUUAUUGGAGGUAGAGCACUGUUUGGACGAGGGGCCCCUCUCGGGUUACCGAAUUCAGACAAACUCCGAAUGCCAAUUAAUUUAACUUGGGAGUCAGAACAUGGGUGAUAAGGUCCGUGUUCGAAAGGGAAACAGCCCAGACCACCAGCUAAGGUCCCAAAAUAUAUGUUAAGUGGAAAAGGAUGUGGCGUUGCCCAGACAACUAGGAUGUUGGCUUAGAAGCAGCCAUCAUUUAAAGAGUGCGUAAUAGCUCACUAGUCGAGUGACACUGCGCCGAAAAUGUACCGGGGCUAAACAUAUUACCGAAGCUGUGGAUUGUCCUUUGGACAAUGGUAGGAGAGCGUUCUAAGGGCGUUGAAGCAUGAUCGUAAGGACAUGUGGAGCGCUUAGAAGUGAGAAUGCCGGUGUGAGUAGCGAAAGACGGGUGAGAAUCCCGUCCACCGAUUGACUAAGGUUUCCAGAGGAAGGCUCGUCCGCUCUGGGUUAGUCGGGUCCUAAGCUGAGGCCGACAGGCGUAGGCGAUGGAUAACAGGUUGAUAUUCCUGUACCACCUAUAAUCGUUUUAAUCGAUGGGGGGACGCAGUAGGAUAGGCGAAGCGUGCGAUUGGAUUGCACGUCUAA